rnacentral:rRNA from 1 species
AACGAACGCUGGCGGCAUGCCUAACACAUGCAAGUCGAACGAGACCUUCGGGUCUAGUGGCGCACGGGUGCGUAACGCGUGGGAACCUGCCCUUAGGUUCGGAAUAACUCCCCGAAAGGGGUGCUAAUACCGGAUAAUGUCUUCGGACCAAAGAUUUAUCGCCUUUGGAUGGGCCCGCGUUGGAUUAGCUAGUUGGUAGGGUAAAAGCCUACCAAGGCGUCGAUCCAUAGCUGGUCUGAGAGGAUGAUCAGCCACACUGGGCCUGAGACACGGCCCAGACUCCUACGGGAGGCAGCAGUGGGGAAUAUUGGAAAGUGGGCGAAAGCCUGAUCCAGCAAUGCCGCGUGAGUGAUGAAGGCCUUAGGGUUGUAAAGCUCUUUUACCCGGGAUGAUAAUGACAGUACCGGGAGAAUAAGCACCGGCUAACUCCGUG